CCAAGCCCCUGCCCAGUCCCGGCGAGGCUUGGCCUCGCCAGAUCUGGCGAGGCCGAGCCUCGUCGGUGGCCAGGUGGGCCUCGC
rnacentral:pre_miRNA from 1 species